rnacentral:rRNA from 1 species
CAGUCGCCACGGGAACACGAAGGGUGCAAGCGUUACUCGGAAUUACUGGGCGUAAAGCGUGCGUAGGUGGUGGUUUAAGUCCGUUGUGAAAGCCCUGGGCUCAACCUGGGAAUUGCAGUGGAUACUGGGUCACUAGAGUGUGGUAGAGGAUAGUGGAAUUUCCGGUGUAGCAGUGAAAUGCGUAGAGAUCGGAAGGAACAUCUGUGGCGAAGGCGACUAUCUGGGCCAACACUGACACUGAGGCACGAAAGCGUGGGGAGCAAACAGGAUUAGAUACCCCCGUAGUCCCUGUCUCUUAUAC